rnacentral:tRNA from 1 species
AGCCGGCCUAGCUCAAUUGGUAGAGCAUCUGACUUUUAAUCAGAGGGUCAGAGGUUCGAAUCCUCUAUGGCUC